GUUAAGGGAUGAUGUUGAGGCAUUGGAGGAGGAGUUACUUGACUUAGUUUUAAAUCAACAACCAACAGCAAAUACCAGCUCAAGCAAGGGUUCCACUUCAGGCAAACGACCCUUGAUUAGCAUUGAUGAUUAAUCACUGACUUGGAGGAUGGUAAAUUAUUUUGUAAAGAAGGCAAC